UGGACAAAUACCCCAACGUAUGACCAGAUUACUAACUAUACACUUUAUCUAUAAAGGGGUCCUAUAUUGCCCCCCGAAACUUUUAAAAAUGGAAUAAACACACCCUUAGGUGCUGAGGUGGCACAGAGAGUGUGCUCACUCUCUUGGAGGCAUGUGAGAGAUCUAUUUGGGCUCCCUUUUUCUCAUAAGAGUUUCAUAAGGUCAGAUCCUGACCUUAUUUAAUUGGGCUUAUUUCCCCAGGAGAGUGACGAGAGACACUGAGACGAAGGCGGUGUUGCUGAAAUUCCAGCGAGAUCUGAUGUCUCCGGAUUCCGGUUGAUCAGCGGCGGCAGCGAACGAAAAAUAAAGAAGAGGGAGAGAGAGACAGCUGUCCGCCAAUUCUUCGAGAAUUUGUAUCUUUUUUUGCGAUACCCCUGCAAUAAAACUAUUUUUUUUUUUAAAUGGUUAGCUUGACUUCUGCUGAUCUGAACUCAUCUGCUGCACGUUUUCUGAAAGAGUCUUAGAAUUCUUUUACUAGCAUUUUGAAACAAUCAAUGAACAGCCUAAUUUUUUAGGCAAA